UGAACGCUGGCGGCAGGCCUAACACAUGCAAGUCGAGCGGAUGAAAGGAGCUUGCUCCUGGAUUCAGCGGCGGACGGGUGAGUAAUGCCUAGGAAUCUGCCUGGUAGUGGGGGACAACGUUUCGAAAGGAACGCUAAUACCGCAUACGUCCUACGGGUGAAAGCAGGGGAUCUUCGGACCUUGCGCGAUUGAAUGAGCCGAUGUCGGAUUAGCUAGUUGGCGGGGUAAAGGCCCACCAAGGCGACGAUCCGUAGCUGGUCUGAGAGGAUGAUCAGCCACACUGGAACUGAGACACGGUCCAGACUCCUACGGGAGGCAGCAGUGGGGAAUAUUGGACAAUGGGCGCAAGCCUGAUCCAGCCAUACCGCGUGGGUGAAGAAGGCCUCGGUUGUAAGCCCUUUGUUGGUAAGAAAUCCAGCCGGCGUAACUACCUCGGUUGGGAGUUGACGGUACCCGAAACGAACUAAGCACCGGCUAACUCGUGCCAGCAG
rnacentral:rRNA from 1 species